rnacentral:sRNA from 1 species
UGAUACCAGGGUCAAAAGGUCUAAACCCACAUGAGCUUGCUCAUAAGUGGGUGAAUGACCUUGUGACCCGCCCUAAUAUGAGCAUAAAAGCAGGACGAUAGUUCUGCGAUAUGCGAAUAUUUGGCAGGAUUGUGGGAGUGCGCAGCACGGAACAAUCCGCAGGUAUCA